rnacentral:rRNA from 1 species
GGUUAAGCGACUAAGCGUACACGGUGGAUGCCCUGGCAGUCAGAGGCGAUGAAGGACGUGCUAAUCUGCGAUAAGCGUCGGUAAGGUGAUAUGAACCGUUAUAACCGGCGAUUUCCGAAUGGGGAAACCCAGUGUGUUUCGACACACUAUCAUUAACUGAAUCCAUAGGUUAAUGAGGCGAACCGGGGGAACUGAAACAUCUAAGUACCCCGAGGAAAAGAAAUCAACCGAGAUUCCCCCAGUAGCGGCGAGCGAACGGGGAGCAGCCCAGAGCCUGAAUCAGUAUGUGUGUUAGUGGAAGCGUCUGGAAAGGCGCGCGAUACAGGGUGACAGCCCCGUACACAAAAAUGCACAUGCUGUGAGCUCGAUGAGUAGGGCGGGACACGUGGUAUCCUGUCUGAAUAUGGGGGGACCAUCCUCCAAGGCUAAAUACUCCUGACUGACCGAUAGUGAACCAGUACCGUGAGGGAAAGGCGAAAAGAACCCCGGCGAGGGGAGUGAAAAAGAACCUGAAACCGUGUACGUACAAGCAGUGGGAGCACGCUUAGGCGUGUGACUGCGUACCUUUUGUAUAAUGGGUCAGCGACUUAUAUUCUGUAGCAAGGUUAACCGAAUAGGGGAGCCGAAGGGAAACCGAGUCUUAACUGGGCGUUAAGUUGCAGGGUAUAGACCCGAAACCCGGUGAUCUAGCCAUGGGCAGGUUGAAGGUUGGGUAACACUAACUGGAGGACCGAACCGACUAAUGUUGAAAAAUUAGCGGAUGACUUGUGGCUGGGGGUGAAAGGCCAAUCAAACCGGGAGAUAGCUGGUUCUCCCCGAAAGCUAUUUAGGUAGCGCCUCGUGAAUUCAUCUCCGGGGGUAGAGCACUGUUUCGGCAAGGGGGUCAUCCCGACUUACCAACCCGAUGCAAACUGCGAAUACCGGAGAAUGUUAUCACGGGAGACACACGGCGGGUGCUAACGUCCGUCGUGAAGAGGGAAACAACCCAGACCGCCAGCUAAGGUCCCAAAGUCAUGGUUAAGUGGGAAACGAUGUGGGAAGGCCCAGACAGCCAGGAUGUUGGCUUAGAAGCAGCCAUCAUUUAAAGAAAGCGUAAUAGCUCACUGGUCGAGUCGGCCUGCGCGGAAGAUGUAACGGGGCUAAACCAUGCACCGAAGCUGCGGCAGCGACGCUUAUGCGUUGUUGGGUAGGGGAGCGUUCUGUAAGCCUGCGAAGGUGUGCUGUGAGGCAUGCUGGAGGUAUCAGAAGUGCGAAUGCUGACAUAAGUAACGAUAAAGCGGGUGAAAAGCCCGCUCGCCGGAAGACCAAGGGUUCCUGUCCAACGUUAAUCGGGGCAGGGUGAGUCGACCCCUAAGGCGAGGCCGAAAGGCGUAGUCGAUGGGAAACAGGUUAAUAUUCCUGUACUUGGUGUUACUGCGAAGGGGGGACGGAGAAGGCUAUGUUGGCCGGGCGACGGUUGUCCCGGUUUAAGCGUGUAGGCUGGUUUUCCAGGCAAAUCCGGAAAAUCAAGGCUGAGGCGUGAUGACGAGGCACUACGGUGCUGAAGCAACAAAUGCCCUGCUUCCAGGAAAAGCCUCUAAGCAUCAGGUAACAUCAAAUCGUACCCCAAACCGACACAGGUGGUCAGGUAGAGAAUACCAAGGCGCUUGAGAGAACUCGGGUGAAGGAACUAGGCAAAAUGGUGCCGUAACUUCGGGAGAAGGCACGCUGAUAUGUAGGUGAAGUCCCUCGCGGAUGGAGCUGAAAUCAGUCGAAGAUACCAGCUGGCUGCAACUGUUUAUUAAAAACACAGCACUGUGCAAACACGAAAGUGGACGUAUACGGUGUGACGCCUGCCCGGUGCCGGAAGGUUAAUUGAUGGGGUCAGCGCAAGCGAAGCUCUUGAUCGAAGCCCCGGUAAACGGCGGCCGUAACUAUAACGGUCCUAAGGUAGCGAAAUUCCUUGUCGGGUAAGUUCCGACCUGCACGAAUGGCGUAAUGAUGGCCAGGCUGUCUCCACCCGAGACUCAGUGAAAUUGAACUCGCUGUGAAGAUGCAGUGUACCCGCGGCAAGACGGAAAGACCCCGUGAACCUUUACUAUAGCUUGACACUGAACAUUGAGCCUUGAUGUGUAGGAUAGGUGGGAGGCUUUGAAGUGUGGACGCCAGUCUGCAUGGAGCCGACCUUGAAAUACCACCCUUUAAUGUUUGAUGUUCUAACGUUGACCCGUGAUCCGGGUUGCGGACAGUGUCUGGUGGGUAGUUUGACUGGGGCGGUCUCCUCCUAAAGAGUAACGGAGGAGCACGAAGGUUGGCUAAUCCUGGUCGGACAUCAGGAGGUUAGUGCAAUGGCAUAAGCCAGCUUGACUGCGAGCGUGACGGCGCGAGCAGGUGCGAAAGCAGGUCAUAGUGAUCCGGUGGUUCUGAAUGGAAGGGCCAUCGCUCAACGGAUAAAAGGUACUCCGGGGAUAACAGGCUGAUACCGCCCAAGAGUUCAUAUCGACGGCGGUGUUUGGCACCUCGAUGUCGGCUCAUCACAUCCUGGGGCUGAAGUAGGUCCCAAGGGUAUGGCUGUUCGCCAUUUAAAGUGGUACGCGAGCUGGGUUUAGAACGUCGUGAGACAGUUCGGUCCCUAUCUGCCGUGGGCGCUGGAGAAUUGAGGGGGGCUGCUCCUAGUACGAGAGGACCGGAGUGGACGCAUCACUGGUGUUCGGGUUGUCAUGCCAAUGGCACUGCCCGGUAGCUAAAUGCGGAAGAGAUAAGUGCUGAAAGCAUCUAAGCACGAAACUUGCCCCGAGAUGAGUUCUCCCUGACUCCUUGAGAGUCCUGAAGGAACGUUGAAGACGACGACGUUGAUAGGCCGGGUGUGUAAGCGCAGCGAUGCGUUGAGCUAACCGGUACUAAUGAACCGUGAGGCUUAACCUU